rnacentral:lncRNA from 1 species
AUGGAACAGAAGCCCCAGGACAGCAGGAGAGGCCUCACCUGCCGAGAGGUGCCCCUGGCGGCCAGGCUGCUGCUGGCCAUGGCCCUCAUGGAUGAGUGGUUCUACCUCUGCCCUGACCACUUCUUCAUUGCCUCUUGAUGGUCCAUGGCAGAUGCCAGGCACUGUCCCUGUGGCCACUUCAGGAUAGGACAGAGUCAAAAACCGCUCACUUGGGCUGCCCUGUGAGGAGCUGAUAACAGAAGUGAGGCAGCUGAGCUGUGUCGGGGAAGGAGCUGUGAAGAGG